CAGAAAAUAGUUUAUAAAAAUAAUAAUUUUGGAGAUUAAAGAUAUAAUUUGAAAUUUUUUUUGUGA
rnacentral:tRNA from 1 species